UUCUUUAUCCCUAACUUUUGCCCGAACCUUUUUUCUUUUUUUUCUUGGUUCACCGGGAUGCCCUUUUUUUCCUGGACUCUUUUAUUCUUUUCGUCCAGCGGGUCAAUUUAUGCGAAGUAUUUUUUGACUACACCUUAGUUCACAGGGGACGGAAAAUCUUCACCAUCCAUAGUUGUCAGCAUCAAGGCUCCACCGGAGAAAACCUUCUUGACAACAUA
rnacentral:lncRNA from 1 species